rnacentral:rRNA from 1 species
UACAGAGGGGGCAAGCGUUGUUCGGAAUCACUGGGCGUAAAGGGUGCGUAGGCGGGUCUUUUAAGUCAGGGGUGAAAUCCCGGGGCUCAACCCCGGAACUGCCUUUGAUACUGGUAGUCUCGAGUCCGGAAGAGGUGAGUGGAAUUCCGAGUGUAGAGGUGAAAUUCGUAGAUAUUCGGAGGAACACCAGUGGCGAAGGCGGCUCACUGGUCCGGUACUGACGCUGAGGUGCGAAAGCGUGGGGAGCAAACAGG